AACGUUUAAUACAAAAGUCGCAUUCAUAUCUAAAAACAGGUAACGUGACACCAGGUUUUUAAACAGUUGAUGAACCUAUUGAACCUCGGAUUUAGUUGAUGAACCUAUUGUCUACUGUUGAAACAUGAUUUGAUUCAGUAAAUUUUUAUUAUUUGAAUUUUACUGUAUUAAUCAUUAGUCAACAGUUAGCGAGAAACUGGUGCUCUACGUAAUUGAGAUUAAUUGAUGAACAUUUCAAUCGUCACCGAAAAUUGAAUUUUCCUGUUUGUUGCAGGCUUGUUUUCCUUUAAUUAGGAGUAUGGUAGACUUAAAGAAGCAGUUCAUAUCUAAACGACACAAACUGUCAAAAGCAAGAGAAAUAAAGAAAAAAACAGUUUUAUA
rnacentral:lncRNA from 1 species